rnacentral:rRNA from 1 species
CCUACGGGUGGCUGCAGUGGGGAAUUUUGGACAAUGGGGGAAACCCUGAUCCAGCCAUGCCGCGUGCGGGAAGAAGGCCUUCGGGUUGUAAACCGCUUUCGGACGGAAAGAAAUCGCACGGGCUAAUACCCUGUGUGGAUGACGGUACCGUAAGAAGAAGCACCGGCUAACUACGUGCCAGCAGCCGCGGUAAUACGUAGGGUGCGAGCGUUCGUCGGGCGUGCUCGGCGGAAAGCGUGCGCCGGCGGUUAAAGCCCCGGGCUUAACCUGGGAACUGCGUUUGGAACUGGGAGACUAGAGUGUGUCAGAGGGAGGUGGAAUUCCGCGUGUAGCAGUGAAAUGCGUAGAUAUGCGGAGGAACACCGAUGGCGAAGGCAGCCUCCUGGGAUAACACUGACGCUCAUGCACGAAAGCGUGGGGAGCAAACAGGAUUAGAUACCCCUGUAGUC